CGGAGGAAAAGAAACCAACAGGGAUUGCCUCAGUAACGGCGAGUGAAGCGGCAAAAGCUCAAAUUUGAAAUCUGGUUGUGCCUGGCGCAGCCCGAGUUGUAAUUUGAAGAAGGCGACUCUGGAGGCGGCCCUUGCCUAUGUUCCUUGGAACAGGACGUCACAGAGGGUGAGAAUCCCGUGCGGCGAGGUGGCCCCGGCUCCGUGUAGAGCGCUUUCGAAGAGUCGAGUUGUUUGGGAAUGCAGCUCUAAGUGGGUGGUAAAUUCCAUCUAAAGCUAAAUAUUGGCGAGAGACCGAUAGCGAACAAGUACAGUGAUGGAAAGAUGAAAAGAACUUUGAAAAGAGAGUGAAAAAGUACGUGAAAUUGUUGAAAGGGAAGGGUAUUAGAUCAGACUUGGCGGUUGCUGGGGAUCCCCCCCUGCCCUUGUGGCGGGAGGGCUACUCCCUGCGCGCUGGGCCAGCAUCGAUUCGGACGGCGGGAGAAUGGCGUGGAGAAUGUGGCAGCGGCCCUUUGCGGGGCUGGUGUGCUUAUAGCUCUGGGCAGAUGCCGCCUGUGUGGAUCGAGGAGUGCGUCCUUAGGGACUAGGAUGCUGGCGUAAUGAUCUAACACCGCCCGUCUUGAAA
rnacentral:rRNA from 1 species